UGGGGAAUAUUGCACAAUGGGCGCAAGCCUGAUGCAGCCAUGCCGCGUGUGUGAAGAAGGCCUUCGGGUCGUAAAGCACUUUCAGCGAGGAGGAAGGUGGUGAGCUUAAUACGCUCAUCAAUUGACGUUACUCGCAGAAGAAGCACCGGCUAACUCCGUGCCAGCAGCCGCGGUAAUACGGAGGGUGCAAGCGUUAAUCGGAAUUACUGGGCGUAAAGCGCACGAAGGCGGUUUGUUAAGUCAGAUGUGAAAUCCCCGGGCUCAACCUGGGAACUGCAUUUGAAACUGGCAAGCUAGAGUCUCGUAGAGGGGGGUAGAAUUCCAGGUGUAGCGGUGAAAUGCGUAGAGAUCUGGAGGAAUACCGGUGGCGAAGGCGGCCCCCUGGACGAAGACUGACGCUCAGGUGCGAAAGCGUGGGGCAGCAAACAGGAUUAGAUACCCUGGUAGUCCACGCUGUAAACGAUGUCGAUUUGGAGGUUGUGCCCUUGAGGCGUGGCUUCCGGAGCUAACGCGUUAAA
rnacentral:rRNA from 1 species